UCCGGUUUGUCACCGGCAGUCCCCUAUGAGUCCCCGGCCGAACCGCUGGCAACUAAGGGCAGGGGUUGCGCUCGUUGCGGCACUUAAGCCAACACCUCACGGCACGAGCUGACGACAGCCAUGCAGCACCUGUGCUAGCCCCCGAAGGACACGGGUUUUCACCCGCUUUAACUAGCAUGUCAAGCCCAGGUAAGGUUCUUCGCGUUGCAUCGAAUUAAACCACAUGCUCCACCGCUUGUGCGGGCCCCCGUCAAUUCCUUUGAGUUCUAAUCUUGCGACCGUACUCCCCAGGCGGGAAGCUUAAUGCGUUAGCUGCGCCACCGACAAGUAAACUUGCCAACAGCUGGCUUCCAUCGUUUACAGCGUGGACUAC
rnacentral:misc_RNA from 1 species